GACGAACGCUGGCGGCGUGCCUAAUACAUGCAAGUAGAACGCUGAAGGAGGAGCUUGCUUCUCCGGAUGAGUUGCGAACGGGUGAGUAACGCGUAGGUAACCUGCCUGGUAGCGGGGGAUAACUAUUGGAAACGAUAGCUAAUACCGCAUAAGAGUAGAUGUUGCAUGACAUUUGCUUAAAAGGUGCAAUUGCAUCACUACCAGAUGGACCUGCGUUGUAUUAGCUAGUUGGUGGGGUAACGGCUCACCAAGGCGACGAUACAUAGCCGACCUGAGAGGGUGAUCGGCCACACUGGGACUGAGACACGGCCCAGACUCCUACGGGAGGCAGCAGUAGGGAAUCUUCGGCAAUGGACGGAAGUCUGACCGAGCAACGCCGCGUGAGUGAAGAAGGUUUUCGGAUCGUAAAGCUCUGUUGUAAGAGAAGAACGAGUGUGAGAGUGGAAAGUUCACAG
rnacentral:rRNA from 1 species